UCGCAGCUUCACGUCGAGGGUCUCCUGGGACUCGAUGAAGAUGCUCAGUCCACUCGGUACCAUAGUGCCGAACAUGAGGCAGUAGCACAAUACUUCGAUGCAUAAAACUUUCGUUGCCGACAAGAGUGACAUCCGGGCGAGAGUCUACGCCAACCAAUGAAGUUUUAUGAAUAGCUACAUUGACGCAUUUUUUUCCUGUGAGGGAUAUCUGAGUACGAACAAUAAUCGUUCGUAACUGGUCCUGUUAAUUUGAUUACGAGUUACGUUCUAAGACAUAUGUGAAAAUACUUCUGCAUACUGAAGAAAUUACGAAGUUCAUAAGGUAUUGAGCUUUUAAUGAAUUGCUUUUAGAAAAAUUCCGAUUGUUUAGUAAAACUUCCGAUUUAAACUUACAAAAAUUUAUUGUUGUUGAAAAUUUAUUAUUAUAAUUAAUUGUUGAAGUCUCCUAUCUGUAUAAUCAUUACUUGUAUUUACCAAAUACCAAUAUUAAUAAAUAUAAAUUAUACUUGGAACACACUUCACUACUCUUUAUGUAAAAUAUGUUUUUCAUGAUGUUUUCUUGACUUACUACAUUUCUAAUUGUCUAUAUUUCUACUUGAUUGUGUUUUACGUAGUCAUUGUUCGCAAAAUAUUCAAAUAUGUCACGGAAGUUUUAAUUACCUAAAACAGUGAAAUUGUCGUUUCUAUUGAUAAUAUGAUACAUCAUAGCAAAAUUCUGAUUACAGUACAGUAUAAUUGAGAAUUAUAUAAUUAUAGAUUUUAUUCAAUAUUUAAUAAAACAGUUAAGGAGUGAGAAACAUAUAUUACUUAUAUGGCCAAAAGUUGCAAUAGAUAAGUGAAUUAACUUCCCUGCAGUUAUUUUAAUUACGUUACUCGAUCAAAUGAUUAUCAAGAUAAGACAAAGCGCUGUUUUAUGUGGUAGUUGAUACCAGUUAGUCAUAUAUACUAUUUCCCCGAAAUUUUUGUACUAAAUGAAUAAAUGCAGACAGUUUUAAAUAUUUCUUAUUAUUAAAAAAUUUAAAUGUUUUUAAUAUGUAAAAAAAAGAAAAUAAAAUAUUAAAGAAUUUAAAUGAGAAUACAGUAAUUACAUUAAAAUAUUUAACUGAUUUAAUAGUGUAAAUGUAGUAAUUUACUAUCUUUAUAUUUAAGACAAGAUAAUUACAUUAUACAAAACAAAAUAAUUUUUAAAUAUUGCAAAACUUA